rnacentral:lncRNA from 1 species
GGAGUGAGUGGUGGCAAUAGGGUGAGAAUGGGGUGACACUAUGGGGACAAUAGGGUGACACUGUGAUGAUAUGGUAACAAUGGGGUGGCAAUGGGGUGACAAUGGGGGGACAGUGGGGUGACACUAUGGGGACAGUGGGGUGAUUGGUGACAAUGGGGGGGCAAUGGGGUGACACUAUGGGGACAAUGGGGUGAGUGGUGACAAUGGGGUGGCAAUGGAGUGACACUAUGGGGACAAUGGGGUGAUGUGGUGACAAUGGGGUGGCAAUGGGGUGACACUAUGGGGACAAUGGGUGGGGUGAGUGGUGACAAUGGGGUGACAAUGGGGUGACAAAGGGGUGACAAAGGGGUGACGCUAUGAGGCAAUAGAGGGACAAUGGAGUGACAGUGGGGUGAUGUGGUGACAGUGGGGUGACAAUGGGGUGAGUGGUGGCAAUGGGGUGACAAUGGGGUGACACUAUGGGGACAAUGGGGUGA